rnacentral:lncRNA from 1 species
AUUGACAUGAUGCAUCUCUUAUCACAUCACUGGGAAUUUUUUUAUCUCAUUUAAUCCUGAGUCCAAAGUGGUAUUUUAGUCUUUUACCCUUACUUUAACAAUGGGAUCUAGGUCCCAGAACAACAUUAUUGCCUUAUUUUUCACAGUUCUCUUAAAAUCAAAAGCAUUUCCUCUCAAGAACAAACCCUGGCCCCUUCAACAUUGAAGUUCAAUUCUCAAGAAUUCACCAACA